rnacentral:snoRNA from 1 species
CUGCAAUGAUGUAAAAUUAAUUUCUUCAACUGAAACAAUCUAUGAUGUUACCCCAUUGUGACAUUUUUAACUGAGCAGU